UUCCAGCAAAUAUGACAAAUAGUUACUUUUAUAAAAAUGACCUUAUACAGCUUUAACAUCAGGCAAUCUAGAUUAUUUAUCUAGAGCAAGACCCACUGCCUUGUUGAACAGCUAAAAGAUAAAGCCCAUUUUGCUAUCUUUACAGUGGUUAAGUGGUUUGUGUCCUUUGACACUCAGCUUUGGUUAACUAUAAAUAGUUUAAAGGCACACAGUGACUUACACGCAGGGCGUGUCAACCAAUGAACCAAGUCUACUUUUUGAUGUUUAGAUAAGUUACACAAUUGACAUUAAUGAGCAGGUUAGUACAUUUGAGAUCAACAGCAAAAUUAAACCGAUUAAACCUUUAAAACCUUCACCUCUUACAGUUAUUAUUAAUUAGGACACUGCAGCUUAAUUAAGCUAAAAUUACACAUUUUAAGUUACACUUUUAACAUAAAAACAAUAAACCGUUUGGCUCCACAUUCUUUUGGGAUUUUGUCAACAGUUUUGUCUAACUAAUAAAUAAACUAAUAAACUAAUUUGAUCACUGAUUAUGAAUGUAUUGCAUUUAGCAUCAUUUAGUAAGACUUUUACCUAAAAAGUCUAUUAACAUUGUUCUUCAGGUGGCCCAGAAGGUGAAGCACUUCUUCCGAAUGUACUCAGUGAACCGCCACAAGAUGACCACGAUAACGCCAUCGUACCAUGCCGUCAGCUACAGUCCUGAUGACAACCGCUUUGACCUCCGCCCUUUCCUCUAUAACACACGCUGGACCUGGCAGUUCAGGUGCAUCGACAACCAGGUGUCCCAGAUGGAAGCAAACAACCCAAAGCAACUGUGACAGAUCAAAUACCAUCUUUUGGUUUUUGCACAGCUUUCAGUCAAGCCAAAUACUUUGUACUGUGCAAGCACUGGGUCCAGGGGAAAUAUUUUUUUUUUUUGCGAUUGUAUAGAACCAUUGUUCUACCUCAGGCCUCACAUAUGUGACAGUUAACUACAUCUACAUGCCAUCAAUCCCAACUUUUAUUCAGAAGCAUCGGAUCAUUUCGAGUCUUUCCCCAUGUGAAAUGCAGUAAUAAAGUAAUUUAUCAUUAAAACAUGUAAUCACUGUAAGACAUAGUGGUUGUUCCACCUGAAACUUGCAUGUGAUCAGUACCAACUAGAAUAAAAAUGUUCUGUAAUCCCUUUUAUAUACCCUAUUCAUUGUGGAUGUAUAGGAAUUUCAUAUUCGUUAAAUGGCACUAAAAACAGCGUGCCUUCUAAAGACCAACAGAAUACAAUAUUUUUAGUUACUUGCAGUAUUAGGGUGUAACAUUUUUGGUGAUCUAUUCAUAUUCUCAUUCAUAGCUAUGUUUUAAUUAGUGUAUAAUCACCUGAAUAUAAGAAUCAGCCAUUUUAGGGGCAUUUACCUUUUUUGCACAUUUUGCAGCCACUGUAGUCUGUCCUUUGUGCUUGGAAGAGGAGGGUGAAAAGAGAGAGUUGCUAUCUGCAACUAUAUACUGCUAGAUGCCAGUAAAUCCUACACACUGGAUCUUUUAAAUGGGUGGCAUCUUUAAUUCUAACUUCAAUGUUUAAAAUUGCUUUAUCUGUAUGCCUUUUUUUCAAUACAAUACAAUCUUUAAUCUGCUUAAACACAAUUAAUGUUUUUUUAAUUAUGUAGGAUAUACUGUAACCACUGUUGUCUGUUUUACUACAGAUGCUUAAGCAUUAUCUGAAGAGAUGGUUUAUCAAGGAUUUAUCCUCUGGCUACCAUCAAACUGAGCAGACAAGAAAAUACAUGUCGGUUCCUCUAUCAGAUUCUGGGCCCUUAAAGUGAAUCUGCUUACAUGCCUUGGAAGUUUGUUGUUUUUUCAAAAGGAAUGAACAAGCCUGGCUCUUCAAGGGCAUUCAAGGAUGGUGACAGAGACGAGCUGAAGCGCGUACAGGGGGAACUCAAGGUCCACCUGAGAGAGGCGAAGGAGGACUACAGAAG